CCUACGGGCGGCAGCAGUGAGGAAUAUUGGUCAAUGGGCGGGAGCCUGAACCAGCCAAGUCGCGUGAGGGACGACGGUCCUAUGGAUUGUAAACCUCUUUUGUCGGAGAACAAAGGCGUCCACGGGUGGGCGGCUGAGAGUACCCGACGAAUAAGCAUCGGCUAACUCCGUGCCAGCAGCCGCGGUAAUACGGAGGAUGCGAGCGUUAUCCGGAUUUAUUGGGUUUAAAGGGUGCGUAGGCGGACAGUCAAGUCAGCGGUAAAAUUGCGGGGCUCAACGCCGUAUUGCCGUUGAUACUGGCAGGCUAGAGAGGAGGUGAGGUAUGCGGAAUGUGUGGUGUAGCGGUGAAAUGCAUAGAUAUCACGCAGAACACCGAUUGCGAAGGCAGCAUACC
rnacentral:rRNA from 1 species